rnacentral:rRNA from 1 species
UCGAGGGGUAUGGGCUUUCGGGCCCGAGACCGGCGCACGGGUGCGUAACGCGUAUGCAAUCUACCUUUUACAGCGGGAUAGCCCAGAGAAAUUUGGAUUAAUACCACAUAGUAUUAUAGGAUGGCAUCAUUUUAUAAUUAAAGUCACAACGGUAAAAGAUGAGCAUGCGUCCCAUUAGCUAGUUGGUAAGGUAACGGCUUACCAAGGCAACGAUGGGUAGGGGUCCUGAGAGGGAGAUCCCCCACACUGGUACUGAGACACGGACCAGACUCCUACGGGAGGCAGCAGUGAGGAAUAUUGGACAAUGGGCGCAAGCCUGAUCCAGCCAUGCCGCGUGCAGGAUGACGGUCCUAUGGAUUGUAAACUGCUUUUAUACAGGAAGAAACCCUUGCUCGUGAGCAAGAUUGACGGUACUGUAAGAAUAAGGAUCGGCUAACUCCGUGCCAGCAGCCGCGGUAAUACGGAGGAUCCAAGCGUUAUCCGGAAU